GGGAUCUGACCACAGUAGGAGUCUCACUGACCACAGUGCAGUUUGACUUCAACAGGACUGUAAUGAAGGGAGCCCCAAUAUUCUUUUGAACUUGGGCAGCCAAGUGCUUCAGCUUGAUUUCUCUAAGAUGAUCAUAUGAAUUUCAGCGCCCAGGUGGGAAUUGGCCUGGUAAAGGGUGGACCUCUUCAGUUGACUGAAGGCCUGAAGAAGACAAAAGACUAACUGUUCUGUGAAUCAGGAAUACAUUACUAGCUUAGCUCAGAGAUUCGGGCUUGAGGUCUCUCAUGAAGUUGCAGUCAAGACAUCUACUGGACCUAUGGACUUCUGACCUGGCUGGAGGAUCAGAUUCGAAAAAGGAUCAUUUGAAUGGAGGGCAAGCUGAUGCAGGCAGGAGGCUUCAUCUUUCCAUUGGACUGAUUGAAUGUCCUGAGUAAAUGAUGAAAAAAGAGCAAGGAUGGACAUAAACACAAUGUCUUUUAUUACCUAACCUCUGAAGUGGUACUCUCAUUUCUGCAAUAGCCUAUUUGUUGUGUGGGUUAUCCCUAGU